AACGUAGGAGGCGAGCGUUAUCCGGAGUUACUGGGCGUAAAGCGUGCGCAGGCGGUUCUGUAAGUGGCUUGUGAAAGCGCCCGGCUAAACCGGGCGAGGACAGGUCAGACUGCAGGGCUGGGAUGGAACAGAGGGCUGUGGAAUUCCGGGUGUAGCGGUGAAAUGUGCAGAGAUCCGGAGGAACACCAGAGGUGAAGACGGCGGCCUGGGUUCCAAUCGACGCUGAGGCACGAAAGCGUGGGGAGCGAACGGG
rnacentral:rRNA from 1 species